UCUACGGGAGGCAGCAGUAGGGAAUCUUCCGCAAUGGGCGAAAGCCUGACGGAGCAACGCCGCGUGAGUGAUGAAGGGUUUCGGCUCGUAAAACUCUGUUAUUAGGGAAGAACAAAUGUGUAAGUAACUGUGCACAUCUUGACGGUACCUAAUCAGAAAGCCACGGCUAACUACGUGCCAGCAGCCGCGGUAAUA
rnacentral:rRNA from 3 species